rnacentral:rRNA from 1 species
AGUCGAGCGGACCGACGGGAGCUUGCUCCCUUAGGUCAGCGGCGGACGGGUGAGUAACACGUGGGUAACCUGCCUGUAAGACUGGGAUAACUCCGGGAAACCGGGGCUAAUACCGGAUGCUUGAUUGAACCGCAUGGUUCAAUCAUAAAAGGUGGCUUUYAGCUACCACUUACAGAUGGACCCGCGGCGCAUUAGCUAGUUGGUGAGGUAACGGCUCACCAAGGCGACGAUGCGUAGCCGACCUGAGAGGGUGAUCGGCCACACUGGGACUGAGACACGGCCCAGACUCCUACGGGAGGCAGCAGUAGGGAAUCUUCCGCAAUGGACGAAAGUCUGACGGAGCAACGCCGCGUGAGUGAUGAAGGUUUUCGGAUCGUAAAACUCUGUUGUUAGGGAAGAACAAGUACCGUUCGAAUAGGGCGGUACCUUGACGGUACCUAACCAGAAAGCCACGGCUAACUACGUGCCAGCAGCCGCGGUAAUACGUAGGUGGCAAGCGUUGUCCGGAAUUAUUGGGCGUAAAGCGCGCGCAGGCGGUUUCUUAAGUCUGAUGUGAAAGCCCCCGGCUCAACCGGGGAGGGUCAUUGGAAACUGGGGAACUUGAGUGCAGAAGAGGAGAGUGGAAUUCCACGUGUAGCGGUGAAAUGCGUUGAGAUGUGGAGGAACACCAGUGGCGAAGGCGACUCUCUGGUCUGUAACUGACGCUGAGCGCGAAAA